UCCCUGGUGGCUCAGUGGGUAAAGAAUCUGCCUGCAACACAGAAGACCUAGGUUCAAUCCCUGGAUUGGGAA
rnacentral:tRNA from 1 species